rnacentral:tRNA from 1 species
GACCUCGUAGCUCAGUUGGCUAAAGCUUUGGUUUUACUAAAGCCUUCCCAUUGCUGGCGUGGGUUCGAAUCCUAUCAAGGCCG